rnacentral:rRNA from 1 species
AGUGAACGCUGGCGGUAGGCCUAACACAUGCAAGUCGAACGGCAGCACAGUAAGAGCUUGCUCUUACGGGUGGCGAGUGGCGGACGGGUGAGGAAUACAUCGGAAUCUACUUUUUCGUGGGGGAUAACGUAGGGAAACUUACGCUAAUACCGCAUACGACCUACGGGUGAAAGCAGGGGAUCUUCGGACCUUGCGCGAUUGAAUGAGCCGAUGUCGGAUUAGCUAGUUGGCGGGGUAAAGGCCCACCAAGGCGACGAUCCGUAGCUGGUCUGAGAGGAUGGUCGGCCACACUGGAACUGAGACACGGACCAGACUCCUAAGGGAGGCAGCAGUGGGGAAUAUUGGACAAUGGGCGCAAGCCUGAUCCAGCCAUACCGCGUGGGUGAAGAAGGCCUUCGGGUUGUAAAGCCCUUUUGUUGGGAAAGAAAAGCAGCAGGUUAAUACCCCGCCGUUCUGACGGUACCCAAAGAAUAAGCACCGGCUAACUUCGUG